rnacentral:lncRNA from 1 species
CGUCGGAAACCAACCACUCAUCUUUCCUGUUUUCCCCAGUAACGUUAAAAACAGUGCACUCUGCGAAACGUCUAUUGUGCCAUAUUUAUAGCACGAUUGUUUGCAGCACCCCGUUGGUUUAUCUCCCGGUGCAAAAUACACACAUGACAAAUUCGCAGGAAUCGAUUUUUUGUUUACACACGUUCUUUCGCGUAUACAUACAUAUUGCAUCAUCGUCUGAUCCUUGAGACUUGAGACUAUCACGUCUGUUCGCUUUUACUUUUCAUAAUUCAAUUUAGAAUAAUUUAGCAGUCACAAAAAAAGUGUAAAUAUAAAUUCGAAGAAAUUCACUUGUAUCUUGUACCAUUUAUACAUUUAUUUAUACAGGGCAUUUUAUUAUACAAAUCUUCAAUAUACAAACGUGGAUUUAACAUAGAAAGUUAAAAUCGGAGGAAUACAAAUAAUUAUAUCGACAUAACCUUAAUCUCUCGUAUUUUUCAAAAUCGAUUAUAAAUUCUAGUAACACUUAAAUGUAAUUAGUUUGGUAUCAUAUAUAUAAAGUUCGACGUACGAAAUUGUUCACGAUUUGAAGUGGAAAAAGAAAGGUAUUACGCCGUUGCUAAGCGUUAAAAAAAAAGUUUCGCGUUUCUCACUGUAACACGUUUCGCGUUACUUCAAAUAUUGAUCAGUAACACGUCGGUGCACGCGUUCAUCGAUGCACAAAGCAUCUCUUUGCAUUCGUAUGUCACACGUGCGAUUCUCUGUGUUACUCACUGUAGCAUUAUUCACGGUAACGUGGGCAGGAUGUGUUUCUUUGACGUACUCUCGUUUAUCGCGUCUUCGUUGAGCAGUCUAUUUGAUUACUUACGCGUAAUGCUUUGUUUAAUGAUCGCGACGGUUUCACGCAACUAAUACCUUCUUUACCGACGUCUUUUCAAAUGCAAAUAAUUUACAUAUAAAUUACAAUUUAAUUAUUACAAUACAAUUAAUUUAAUAAAUUACAAUACAAUUUAAAAUGCAGUGAAAAAUGAUUUUCAAGUGAUGACAAAUUAUUGUCGAUAGAAGAUCGAUAACGUCUAUUCUGAAAUAAUACGAGAGAUAAUUGAAAUUACCUGCGAAAUAAAUCAUUGUUUAAUGGCACCGUAUCUGAGAUAAGCGACACUUAAAAAUCUUAUUGUUCAUAUUUAUUCUCCCUUUCUUUUCGUUCCCACAUAAUUAUACGUCACGGGAUAAAAAUUUUUCCGUCUGAUAAAAAAAGGAAAACAAAAAGAGUAGUGUCCGGUGUUUUGUAACGCUUCUUCGCACGACACGUGUAUCGUUCACGGUACGCCGACUGUUUUGUAUCUUUUUAAUGAUUAAAAGACGUCAGAGGCGCGUAAUUUAAGGUGAAUCGUUAUGAAGCGAUGCCGCAUGAGUCGACUAGAACGAAAGUGCGACGCAAGCGUCUCGGCAGGAAAAAAUAAAGCGAUUAACCGUGCAAUUGCGCUGAGUCGGAAUCUUGAAAAAAAUGAGAGAUGCGUAUUUUCUUUACCUAAUCUAUAGAAGACCGCGUAAAUACACGAUCAGUCACGUGACACAUGAUUCUUCUCUCGCUUUCUCGCUUAUAUUCAUAGAGAUUCUUGAAUAAUUAUUUAGUCAUAAUUUCUGAUUAUCAGCUCCUCUUACGACUAGGCGAAUUAACGAAUUAAUCCUAAACGAGAAUAUACAUUUAAUCUUAUUUAAAUACUUUCAGGCAAGCGUUGCACUUAAAAGUUUUCUGUGUCAUGAUGGCGGCGCUAUCAAUUAUCGAUACACUAUCGAUUUCUUAAUGAUAUCUAAUCAUCGAUAAUAUCGCUGAGACUGAAAUAGAAUCUAAUGCGUAAUUUUACGAUUCAAAUCCUAACCUAACUUUCAUCAUUCAAACUAACCGUAAAUUUAAUUUCGAACAAUAAUUUGCAC